GAUGAAGAACGCAGCGAAAUGCGAUAAGUAAUGUGAAUUGCAGAAUUCAGUGAAUCACCGAAUCUUUGAACGCACAUUGCGCCCGCCAGCAUUCUGGCGGGCAUGCCUGUUCGAGCGUCAUUUCAACCCUCGACUUCCCUUUGGGGAAAUCGGCGUUGGGGACCGGCUGUAUACCGCCGGCCCCGAAAUGAAGUGGCGGCCCGUCCGCGGCGACCUCUGCGUAGUAAUCCAACUCGCACCGGAACCCCGACGUGGCCACGCCGUAAAACCCCCGACUUCUGAACGUUGACCUCGGAUCAGGUAGGAAUACCCGCUGAACUUAAGCAUAUCAAUAAGCGGAGGA
rnacentral:misc_RNA from 1 species